UAGGGAGGUGAUUCUGGCAUAGAGGAUGAUGAAGAAGAAGAAGUGCUUUGGUGAGUUUGUGCAGGUAUAGAGGGAGGAAUGAAGGUUCUGGCUAUGUUUAGAACUGGUGUAGGUUGGGAGGUUCUGGUGAUUGAGGGUGGGAUUUCAGAUGUAGUAUAAAUGGGUUGAGAGGAGAGAGGGUUAGAGGAAGCCAUCUGAAGAUUAGAGGAGACAGGAGGAACAGACUUACCAGUUGAGAUUUGCAGAGGAGCUGAAGAUCCGCUUCCAGAAGCUCCGUCAAGUCUGGCCUUCUUUGCUGGUGGUGCUAUCUUCCUCUCAGAAACACCUCUCUUGUAUCUGACUAAAUCUUCUUCAGAGUCCAGACAGUCAUCGAGGCUGAAAUCAGAGACAUCAAAACCUUCUUCCAGCAGACGAUGAAG
rnacentral:lncRNA from 1 species